UACAUGGGGUGCAAACGUUGCUCGGAAUUAUUGGGCGUAAAGGGCUCGUAGGCGGUUUGUCGCGUCGGGAGUGAAAACACGGGGCUUAGCCCCGUGCCUGCUUCCGAUACGGGCAGACUAGAGGUAUGCAGGGGAGAACGGAAUUCCUGGUGUAGCGGUGAAAUGCGCAGAUAUCAGGAGGAACACCGGUGGCGAAGGCGGUUCUCUGGGCAUUACCUGACGCUGAGGAGCGAAAGUGUGGGGAGCGAACAGG
rnacentral:rRNA from 1 species